rnacentral:rRNA from 1 species
CCUACGGGAGGCAGCAGUGGGGAAUAUUGCACAAUGGGCGAAACCCUGAUCCAGCGAUGCCGCGUGAGUGAAGAAGUCUUUCGGUAUGUAAAGCUCUAUUAGCAGGGAAGAAGCAAGACGGUACCUGAUUAAGAAGCCCUGGCUAACCACGUGCCAGCAGCCGCGGUAAUACGCAGGGGGCAAGCGUUAUCCGGAUUUACUGGGUGUAACGGGAGCGUAGACGGUAUGGCAAGUCUGAAGUGAAAGCCCAGGGCUUAACUCUGGAACUGCUUCGGAAACUGUUAGACUAGAGUGCUGGAGAGGUAGGUGGAAUGCCUGGUGUAGCGGUGAAAUGCUUAGAUAUCACGAAGAACCCCGAUUGCGAAGGCAGCUUACUAAUCUGUUGCUGACGUUGAUGCUCGAAAGUGUGGGGAUCAAACAGGAUUAGAUACCCGUGUAGUC